CCGCUCUCCAGGUGGACGAGACAGGGCUGGAGCUGCGGGACAUCGAGCUGGUGAUGGCACAAGCCAGUGUGUCCAGGGCCAAGGCAGUGCGCGCCCUGAGGGACAGCCAGAGCGACAUCGUGAAUGCCAUCAUGGAGCUGACCAUGUAGCCUCCGACCGCCGCCUCCUGCCACCCCACCCCCAGCUGAUGCUCAAUAAACGGGUGUCUGCUAGCA